rnacentral:misc_RNA from 1 species
AACGCACAUUGCGCCCUGUGGUAUUCCGCAGGGCAUGCCUGUUCGAGCGUCAGUACAACACUCAAGCUCAGCUUGGUCUUGAACCCAGCGGGUCACUCCGCGGGUUUUAAAAUCAGUGGCGGUGCUAUCAGGCUCUAAGCGUAGUAAUACUCCUCGCUUUUGGGCCCUGAUAGACGCUGGCCAGCAACCCCAACUUCUAAGUUUGACCUCGGAUCAGGUAGGGAUACCCGCUGAACUUAA